AACCCAUUACAAAAAAACUUGCCAUCCAUGGUGUUGGCUCAGUUGCCCUUGGGCUCUCCAGGGAUUGCAGCCUCUCUGAGGUUUGCCCAAUCCCAUGUAGGUAAUGUUCACUGAGUUCAAUGAACCUUAUAGCAAGGUUCAUUGUCCUUGAGCGGGAAUCCAACUUUCGUCAGCCGAGAAGUCAUGGUCUGAGACACAAAAGUGCAGUGACUUGAUAGAAACGAGAACCAACUGAUGAACAAGACUGGAUUAACUCAACCUCUUCCCUUUGUGAUCAUGUCUCAGAACAGGCACAAUCAAUUGGAACAGGCACCAUCAAAAGGAUGCCCAUGCUUUUUAGGUCCAAGCUCCAAGUCAGACAGAAGUGGAGGAACGAAGCCAUGGCUCUGGGCUACAGCCACACUUAGCUUAGAGCCGGGCAGCUUCUUGUGUUUCUUCUGUGAAGAGGACAUGGAGAAGACCCUGUCUGGAGAGAAAGCAAGAACUUGGUGUCAUACUUCACUGGGAGGCCGAGCAAAUGUCAAAGAGAACCUUUAAAUCACAUAUUUUGGCAGGAUUGGUGUCCAAGACAAGAGAGACUGGUGGUGAGAUAAAUCACAGUGCACAACAACAGGCUUAUAUACUGCCCCAUA